CCUCAGCCUGUCACAUAACAACUGAAUAAGAAAAUGACACAGAAAUGGAUCCCUGUAGGCAGCAGGUGGUUCCUCGGGUGCUGCUACCCUCUUUGCAGAGGAAGCACACAAACAGUGAGCAGCAGAUCUGCACUGGGUAAGUGGGAAAUGAUCCUGAAAAUCCCUCCUGAGCUAAAACCUAGCCAAAAGACCACCUUGGCUUCCAAACUGCAAACUUGCUGGACAACUGAUGUUUCCAUGUGUGUGGAGGUGCUCCAGCCUUACUUAUAGCUGUAAAUGUGAUGCUAAGAUCGUGCCUGUGCUCUUCCCUCAGGACACCUGUGUGGUGUGUGCUCUGGAAGUGACAACAGGAUCCAAAUCACCUGCAUGAGGAUCCAGCCCACCUGCCACGUCCUGGCAGCCGUGCUCUCCUUCAUUCCAGGCAAACACGCAAGCCUGAGAUGCUGUCUGAAGCCUCGGACUUCAUUUAACAAGUUGGAGUUGAGUUAGCACCUUCGAGCCUCUGGGGCUGUGUCUUGCAUCAGAAAGAACACAGCUCGUUAUCAUUCCUGAACUCUGCUCCUCUCAGCCGCUGUGCUAGGUGAUGCGAGGUGACACGUGGAGGAAAACAGGAUCUCUUCCAGAAUAUGUGAAAAGCCUUCAUUUGGCUAGCUAAGGAAGCCAAGCUUGCGUGCCUGUAGCUCCGGGCCGAGAGCACAGAAGCCCCGUUCCCCCGUCACUCCGCUGCUCCUCCUCUGCACCUGCUGCAACCUGAGUCAGCCUUUUCUGAUCGGCAAAACAAGAGGACGCGCACACACAACAGCAAAAAGAGUGUCAAGGAAGGAAAUUGCAGGUUUGCCUCUGACAGAAACUUAUCGGCAGCCCCGCCGCCGGAGAAAUCCGGGCUCGCUCCUCGCAGCCUUCCCAGCGCUGGGCAGCCCGGAGGAGGUGAGGGGAAGGUUUCAGACCUCGCUCUCUGCCCGUCCCCCUGCCCGCAGGUUGACGGCAGCGCUUCAGCAGCCGCGGCUGCCUUGACAGCAGCGCCAGCCCCUCGCUGGGGACACGGCAGCGAGAGGAGGGAGCGGGGAAGGAGGGGGGCGGGGGGGGAGAGAGAAAGCGGACAAGUGGGGACGAGGAGGGGAUUAGCCGAGCCUCCUUGUUUAGGGUCUGCUGAGGACACCGCCGGGGCUGGGGACGCCUGCCUCGCCGGGCGUGGGCGUUGCGGGGAUGCGGCUGGCAGCGGCUCCGGGGGGCGGCGGGCAGGGGGCUGGGGGCUGCCGCUGGGCUCGCCCCCCCCCAAACCAGCCCCUUCCCCAGCACCCGCACUGCUCCUCACGGCGGCUGCCCCCCCCCCUCCUCCUCCUCCUCGCGACAUGUCGCGACAGCAGCGCGCUGCGGCCGCCCGCGGGGGCCAGCAGCAUCCCCUCCCCUCAGCCCCUCCGACGGGAGCCCCCCUGAGGGGGGGGGUGGUGGUGGUGGUCGAGCCGCCCUGCCCCCGGCUCCCUCCUCAGCUUUUCCAGACUCUUCUCCCCCUCCCCUCCCCCCUCUGUGUGUGUGUGUGGUGGUGGUGGUGGUUUUUUUUAUUUUUUUGGUAUUUUUUCCCCUCCCCUUCCCCCCCUCACCCCCCUCCCACCUCAGUGGCGUUUUUUAAAUACAGCCGACCGCCUUCCCCACAGCGACCGGCUCCUCUCCCCCACAUCCCCUCACAGUCCCUGUGUACCCCCCCCCAACCCCAAAACCCCCUCAGGGGGACCCCCAACCCCUCAUCCCGGGGCACUGUGUUGCGGUGCUGAUUUUUUUUUUUGGGGGGGGGGGGCCCAUCGGCAUCAGGUGCAGGCGGGCAGGGCAAAGCCCGGCCCCCGGCUGCCGCCUGCGCGCUGGAGCCGGGCCCGCCCCUGUGUGUGCGGGGAGGAGCCGGGCUCGCAGCGGGCUUCGCCGGGGAUUUCCAGCCUGAGCGGGCGGGAGAGGAAGUGCGGGGCGGGGGGGAGACGGCGCAGGGCGGCCGGGACUUUCCGCCGGGCUUGGCGGGCGCCUUUCGCCGGGCUCCUGCAGCCGCCGCCGUGCCCGCUCGCUCGCAGGUAGGGGCGGCCGCGGGGUGCUCGCAGCUCCCCCGGUGCUGCCGCUGCUGCUACAGGCUCCGGACGGGGGCUGCUCCCCGGAGCCGCGGUGGAGCUGUUGGGGGGUGUGGGGGGGGCACGGCGCUGA
rnacentral:lncRNA from 1 species